AAAGAGUUCUAUAACUCCCAAACCCAUGUGAACAUACCUAACGUUGCCUCGGCAGGUCGCACCUACCUUGUAGCACCUUACCCUGUAAGGCCUACCCGGGAGGUGCGGGUAAGCCUGCCGGCGGCCCACCAAACUCUGUUUGAUAUUGAAUUCUGAACCUAUAACUAAAUAAGUUAAAACUUUCAACAACGGAUCUCUUGGUUCUGGCAUCGAUGAAGAACGCAGCGAAAUGCGAUAAGUAAUGUGAAUUGCAGAAUUCAGUGAAUCAUCGAAUCUUUGAACGCAUAUUGCGCCCAUUAGUAUUCUAGUGGGCAGGACCGUUCGAGCGUCAUUUCAACCCUUAAGCCUUCGUUGCUUAGUGUUGGGAGCCUACGGCAACGUAGCUCCUCAAAGUUAGUGGCGGAGUUGGUUCACACUCUAGACGUAGUAAUUUUUUAUCUCGCCUAUUAGUUGAACUAAUACCCUGCCGUAAAACCCCCAAUUUAUCAAGGUUGACCUCGAAUCGGUUCAGACAAACUCGCUAAAUUGAAGCAUCUUAGUCAGCGAAGGAAAAGAAACCAACAGGGAUUGCCCUAGUAACGGCGAGUGAAGCGGCAACAGCUCAAAUUUGAAAUCUGGCCCUCGGGUCCGAGUUGUA
rnacentral:rRNA from 1 species